rnacentral:tRNA from 1 species
GGUCGCGUAGCUCAGUGGUAGAGCACUACCUUGACAUGGUAGGGGUCGCUGGUUCAAAUCCAGUCGUGGCCA